rnacentral:tRNA from 1 species
UGCCCUGUAGCUCAGCUGGACAGAGCACCCCGCUACGACCGGGGAGGUCCCUGGUUCGACUCCAGGCAGGGCAA